GCAGGGCAUGGUGGUGCACGCCUGUAAUCCCAGCUGCUCAGGAGGCUGAGGCAGGAGGAUCACGAGUUCAAAGUCAGCCUCAGCGAUUUAGUGAGGCCCUAAGCAACUCAGUGAGACCCUGUCUCUA
rnacentral:sRNA from 1 species